AAAAACACUUUCAAACCCCCUCUCAAAAGGUUCUCGACAAAGAACAAAAACCUUCGCAUACUUAGUGGUUGCCAUGGCACGGCCUCACAAUGUUUUUUACAUCAUAGAGGGUGUUACUACAUUCCAUACAUUCUUAAGAGAUCAGAGGGAUAUUUUGGCGUGUAAUAUGGGCUCCACCUCAUGAAGCUGAUGUAUGGAACCACUAUCCACAAUGCUGGGAUAUCUGGCACUCCCUGAUUAAGGAAGUGGUGGAGGAGAGCAUUCCCUGCAGGACACAGGAAAGGAAGAGGCCGUCCACAGCCAGGCAACACAGGCAUGAAUACUCCAGGAAGAAGCAUGUGUUUAGGGUGUGCCACAGUCCGUGGACCCAGAACCCUUCAUCCAUAACCCAUCCUUCCUGCUCCCCCUGUGCUCUGCUAGACUUCCGGGUCCAGCCCCAGAGCAACCCUGCAAGGCCACUCACCGCCCUGUGUAGGAGGAAUGAUGUUCCUUGGCCCUCAGCCCCCCUGCGCCUCCCCCCUCCAGCAGUACCGCACUGCAGCUACACUCCACAACAGGGUUCUCACUGCUUAGAUGCAUGAAAGUCAAAGAGGUAGCUACUGCUGCACAGGCACAUGACUGUCCAGGGACUACGGACAUGAGACUGAAACCACCUUGGGCAAGCAGCAGAAACAGAGCCCCACUCUAAUCUUCAUCUGUCCUCCUACAGUUUCAUUAUAUCUAUUUUACAGAAGAUCCUCUGUACUGUCAGCUUUGGCAUCUAUUGGUUGCCUGUUUAAAUACAUUGUACAUGGUUAAAUGGUCACAAAUGUCAACAUUACUCAAUUGGAUAAAAUAAAAAAAACAUAUAAAAAAAUUCAAAAAUUAAAUAGGCAGG
rnacentral:lncRNA from 1 species